AUGCUCUUUUGUGGUUCACAAGUGUGAUAACUGUUUUCCCGCCAGUAUAUGAGAUGCACCUCCCUCAAACCAUAUUAAAAUGUCAGCACAUUACCCAUCUUUAU